GCAGCUUCCAAUGUGCUUAGGAACUCAGAAGGCCACAUUCAAGCUGUUGGAUGGGUUGGGCUCCUACCUGAUAACUUUGGAGAAGAAUUUUUUUGGGGCUCCUUCAAACUGUUGGCAGAAUUCAGUUGGGCUUUAUCCAUCUUCAAACCCAGUAAUGGCCCAUGGAAUGCUUCUCAUGCCUCAAAUCUCUUUGUCUUCCCAUUCUGCUACCUGACUGUAAAGUUCUCACAUGAACUGUGCCACAAUACACAUAUCAAAGACUUGGAACCAAUCCAAAUGCCCAUCAAUCAUAGACUGGAUAAAGAAAAUAUGGUACGUAUACACCAUGAAAUACUAUGCAGCCAUAAAAAAGGAUGAGUUAAUGUCCUUUGCAGGGAUAUGGAUGAAGCUGGAAACCAUAAUUCUCAGCCAACUAACAGAACAGAAAACCAAACACCACAUAUUCUCACUCAAAAGUGGGAGUUGAACAAUCAGAAUACAUGGACACAGGGAGGGGAACAUCACAAACCGGGGCCUGUCGGGGGGUGGGGGGCUAGGGGAGGGACAGCAUUAGGAGAAAUACCUAAUGUACGUGAAGGGUUGAUAGGUGCAGCAAACCAGCAUGGCACAUGUAUACCUAUGUAACAACACUGCACGUAAUGCACAUGUACCCCAGAACUUAAAGUAUGAUAAAAAGGAGAUUAAAAUAUAUAUAUUUACAAAAAAAUGUGCUCACAUGAUUACAUUUGGUAACAUAAUCUCAAGAGUGAUAUCUCAGCAUGUUCACAAUUCCGAUCCAUACUCAAAGUGGAGAGAGUUGUGCAAGAGCAAACGUCAUUGAGGGCCAUUCCUAUUUAUUUAUUUAUUUGUUUAUUUAUUUAUUUUUGAGAUGGAGUUUCUCUCUUGUUGCCCAGGCUGGAAUGCAUUGGGCGAUCUUGGCUCGCUGCAACCUCUGACUCCCAGGUUCAAGUGAUUCUCCUGCCUCAGCCUCCCGAGUAGCUGGGAUUACAAGCAUGCACCACUAUGCCUGGCUAAUUUUGUGUUUUUAGUAGAGACGGGGUUUCACCAUGUUGGUCAGGCUAGUGUUGAACUCCCGCC
rnacentral:lncRNA from 1 species